rnacentral:rRNA from 1 species
UAGCUCCUGGAAACGGGUGGUAAUGCCGGAUGCUCCAGUUGAUCGCAUGGUCUUCUGGGAAAGCUUUCGCGGUAUGGGAUGGGGUCGCGUCCUAUCAGCUUGACGGCGGGGUAACGGCCCACCGUGGCUUCGACGGGUAGCCGGCCUGAGAGGGCGACCGGCCACAUUGGGACUGAGAUACGGCCCAGACUCCUACGGGAGGCAGCAGUGGGGAAUAUUGCACAAUGGGCGCAAGCCUGAUGCAGCGACGCCGCGUGAGGGAUGGAGGCCUUCGGGUUGUAAACCUCUUUUAUCGGGGAGCAAGCGAGAGUGAGUUUACCCGUUGAAUAAGCACCGGCUAACUACGUGCCAGCAGCCGCGGUAAUACGUAGGGUGCAAGCGUUAUCCGGAAUUAUUGGGCGUAAAGGGCUCGUAGGCGGUUCGUCGCGUCCGGUGUGAAAGUCCAUCGCUUAACGGUGGAUCCGCGCCGGGUACGGGCGGGCUUGAGUGCGGUAGGGGAGACUGGAAUUCCCGGUGUAACGGUGGAAUGUGUAGAUAUCGGGAAGAACACCAAUGGCGAAGGCAGGUCUCUGGGCCGUUACUGACGCUGAGGAGCGAAAGCGUGGGGAGCGAACAGGAUUAGAUACCCUGGUAGUCCACGCCGUAAACGGUGGAUGCUGGAUGUGGGGCCCGUUCCACGGGUUCCGUGUCGGAGCUAACGCGUUAAGCAUCCCGCCUGGGGAGUACGGCCGCAAGGCUAAAACUCAAAGAAAUUGACGGGGGCCCGCACAAGCGGCGGAGCAUGCGGAUUAAUUCGAUGCAACGCGAAGAACCUUACCUGGGCUUGACAUGUUCCCGACGGUCGUAGAGAUACGGCUUCCCUUCGGGGCGGGUUCACAGGUGGUGCAUGGUCGUCGUCAGCUCGUGUCGUGAGAUGUUGGGUUAAGUCCCGCA